AUCGAACGCUGGCGGCAGGCUUAACACAUGCAAGUCGAGCGGGGUGAUGGUGCUUGCACUAUCACUUAGCGGCGGACGGGUGAGUAAUGCUUAGGAAUCUGCCUAUUAGUGGGGGACAACAUCUCGAAAGGGAUGCUAAUACCGCAUACGUCCUACGGGAGAAAGCAGGGGAUCACUUGUGACCUUGCGCUAAUAGAUGAGCCUAAGUCGGAUUAGCUAGUUGGUGGGGUAAAGGCCUACCAAGGCGACGAUCUGUAGCGGGUCUGAGAGGUUGAUCCUCCACACUGGGACUGAGACACGGCCCAGACUCCUACGGGGGGCAGCAGUGGGGAAUAUUGGACAAUGGGGGGAACCCUGAUCCAGCCAUGCCGCGUGUGUGAAGAAGGCCUUAUGGUUGUAAAGCACUUUAAGCGAGGAGGAGGCUCUUUUGGUUAAUACCCAAGAUGAGUGGACGUUACUCGCAGAAUAAGCACCGGCUAACUCUGUGCCAGCAGCCGCAGUAA
rnacentral:rRNA from 1 species